GCCCUGCUGACUGCAAAUUUUCAGGUCGAUUGGACUUGUAGUUUCAGAGAAUAUGUGGAUUUUUUUUCAGAAGAGACGUAAGAACAAUAAUAAAAUAAAAAUUUUCUUGAAUAAUUGAGAGUUUGUUCCUUCAAUAAACUGUCAUAAAUAAACAGUCAUACAUAUUGAUUGAUUGAUUAGUUGGUUGAUUGAUUGGUUGGUUGGUUGGUUUGUUGGUUGGUUGAUUAAACACGUUUGAUAGGGUCACUUAGAACAAGGGGAAAAAGACCUCAAGAGACCUUGCAUCCCGUAUUAAACGCAUGACACGGAAACAUACAUUAAGUGAUUGAUUGGUUGGUUGGUUGGUUGGUUAAACACGUUGGUUAAACAUGUUGGUUUAACACGUUGGUUAAACACGUUGGCUGGUUAAACACGUUUGAUAGGCUCAAUUUAAACAAGCGAAAAAAAAAAACAUCUUGGAUCCCGUAUUUAACACAUGAAACGGAAACAUGCAUUGAUUUAUUUAUUGGUUGGUUGGUUGGUUGGUUAAAACACGUUGGUUAAACACGUUGGUUAAACAUUGGUUAAACACGUUUGGUUAAACACGUUGGCUGGUUAAACACGUUGAUAGGCUCAAUUUAAAACAAGCGAAAAAAAAACCAUCUUGGAUCCCGUAUUUAACACAUGAAACGGAAACAUGCAUUGAUUGAUUGAUUGGUUGGUUGGUUGGUUGGUUAAACAGGUUGGUUAAACACGUUGGUUAAACAUGUCGGUUAAACACGUAGUUUAAACACGUUGGCUGGUUAAACACGUUUGAUAGGCUCAAUUUUAACAAACGAAAAAAAACCAUCUCGGAUCCCGUAUUUAACACAUGAAACGGAAACAUGCAUUGAUUGAUUGAUUGGUUGGUUGGUUGGUUGGUUGGUUGGUUGGUUGGUUGGUUAAACACGUUGGUUAAACACGUUGGUUAAACACAUUGGAUAGGCUCAAAAAAAACCAUCUUGGAUCCCGUAUUUAACACAUGAAACGGAAACAUGCAUUGAUUGAUUGAUUGAUUGGUUGGUUGGUUAAACACGUUGGUUAAACAUGUUGGUUAAACACGUUGGUUAAACAUGUUGGUUAAACACAUUGGUUAAACACCUUGGUUAAACACCUUGGUUAAACACGUUGGAUAGGCUCAAUUUAAACAAGCGAAAAAAAAAAAACAUCUUGGAUCCCGUAUUUAACACAUGAAACGGA
rnacentral:lncRNA from 1 species